AUUGAACGCUGGCGUCAGGCCUAACACAAGCAAGUCGAACGAGUGUCGGACGGGUUAGUAAUGUCUGUGAAACUGCCUCAUGGAGGGUGGUAACUACUGGAUACGGUAGCUACUACCGCAUACCCUCCGAUGUGCCCAGAUGGGAUUAGCUAGUAGGUGGGGUAACGGCUCACAUAGGCGACGAUCCCUAGCUGGUCUGAGAGGAUGACGUGGGCAACGUGAAAUGUGAAAAGGACAAGAGUAGUAUGAGAGUGAGCAGUUGGGAAUAUUGCAGAAUGGCCGAAAGUCAGAUGCAGCCCAGACGAGUGGAGGAAGAAGGAAUUAGUGUUGUAAAGUACAGUAAGCGUGGAGGCGUUACACGUAGAAGCAGAACCGGCUAACGGCGUGCCAGCAGCCGCGGUAAUAC
rnacentral:rRNA from 1 species